CCCCCCCCACGCUUGUAGGACUAACUUGCAUUUCCUUUAUAUCUUCAAAAGGAUUAACAAUCUUGGAAAUGAACAUCAAGUGAAUAGAAUAAAGUUAAACAGCAUCCUGCUCUGAAACUCUACUCUGAUUAAGGUAGAGAACACCUACAUUACUGUAUUUUAAAGACAUUUGGAAGCAUCAUUGACAGGAUGAUGACGUAGUCCUUUUGACUCCAUCACAUCAAAGUAAAGCUACCUGGAAAUUUUUACAAAAAAAGGUCUUGCUGAAAAAUGCCAAGUUGUUGACCCUGAUCUAUUUUGUUUGCAACAAGAAGUGUGGUAGAAACUUCUGCUAGAACAAAGCAGCAUUUGAAAGAUCCCAGAUAGAUUUGUCCCAGCUUCUGAGUCACUGGGGACCCUGCUUGCCAACUUCUGUCAUCAGCUGCAGAAUAACAGCAUUCUGAUUGCCUUUUUUUUUUUUUUUUUUUUUUUUAAAUUGGCCUUGGACUGCCAAGAACUGACAGAAAAAAAAAAAGAAAAAAUCUCAUUCUCCAAAGCAACGAACCUACACCCUCACGUACAUACGGUCAAAGCAAAACUUUCUAUUGUGAGCUGACCUUGAUUUCUUCAUCUCUCAGCAGGAAAGUAUGACUACACUGUCAAUUUUGGAUGUUACUGAUCUGAGAUCACUUGGGCUUCUUCUACAUAGGGAAUUUACACACGUUUUCUCACUGAGUGUGAGAUGUCUAAAGCUGUGGGAUGUGAUGAAAAUCUCACCAGCCAUUCAGGAUCUUCUUUUUGGAAAUAAAAGUGGAAAAAUACAGAAUCUUGCAUUACUCCCUCAGGACAGCAGACUUGGUGAUCUAUUAAGCCUUACCCAUCUUAUAAGAUCUUUGAACAGCAAGUUAAUCUUGGUUUUGUGCUUUCUCUUCAUCAAGCUCAAUGUACUUGAUGGCUAAAGGAAAAAUAACAACCCCAAAGCUUCAAUAUAUUUCUACACUGAACUUAAAAUAAUAAGACAUCUCAUUUAAUGUUCAAAUUUUUUAUUUGGGAGUAACACAUAUAUUGUUCUAUGACUGGGAAAAGAUUUCUAAAUUUCUGUUUUCUUGAAUUCUGUGAAAUUCUAAAUGUUUCCUCUGAACUCUCCUGCUUUCAUCUGGGACAGAGUUGAUUUUCUUCAGUGUCUGGUAUGAUGCUAUAUUUUGGCUUUAGGAGAAAAACAAUGUUGAAAACAGACAAAUGUUUUAGUUGUUACUGAGCAGUGCUGUACAGAACUGAGAUAUUCCAGUUUCUCAGCUUUUCAUACUGUCCUGCCAAUGAGGGGGGCUGGGGACCCCAAGGAGCUGGGAUGGGACAGAACCAGGAGAGCUGACCUAAACUGGCCAAAGGGAUAUUCCAUACCAUAUGACAUCAUGUGAAAAAACUAUGAAACGGAUGGGAGUUGGGUGGGGGGGUGACUGUUGCUGUUUGGGCACUGGCUGGGCAUCGGUUGGCAGGUGGUAAGUAAUUGCUUUGUGCAUGACUUAUUUUGUAUAUAUGUACAUGCAUAUCUAUAUUAUUAUUAUUGUUAUUUAUCUCUUCCUUUUCUUUCCCAGUAAAUAGUUUUUAUCUUGACCUAUGAUUUCUACUUUUUAACCGAUUUUCUUUCCCAUGCUGCUGGGAGAGGGGGAGUGAGCAACAGACUGUGUGGUGUUCGUCUGCCUGCUGGGUUAAAGCAUAACAUGAACUUACAGUGUGAUCCUAUGUUGUGCCCUCUAAACUCCAUGGUAAGUUGAAAACUGGAAUUGCAAUUAGUAAGACAUUAUUGUAAAUGUCAGUGUAAAUUACUUCAAAAUGUUCAAAGAUUUUUGCAAUAGCAAAUCGGAGUUCUGAAAAUGCAGAUACUAUGGCGGAUAUGGAAAUACUUACCUACUUUUGAAUUAUAAAUCAAAGAACCUUGAAACUUAAAACCAUGGUUCU
rnacentral:lncRNA from 1 species